AUGCAGAAUUCAGUGAAUCAUCGAAUCUUUGAACGCACCUUGCGCCCUUUGGACAUUCCGAAGGGCAUGCCUGUUUGAGUAUCAUG
rnacentral:rRNA from 1 species